rnacentral:rRNA from 1 species
GACGAACGCUGGCGGCGUGCUUAACACAUGCAAGUCGAGCGGUAAGGCCCCUUCGGGGGUACACGAGCGGCGAACGGGUGAGUAACACGUGAGCAAUCUGCCCAUCACAUCGGGAUAACUCCGGGAAACCGAAGCUAAUACCGAAUACGACCACCUCCGGCCUCGGCUGGUGGUGGAAAGUUCCGGCGGUGAUGGAUGAGCUCGCGGCCUAUCAGCUUGUUGGUGGGGUAACGGCCCACCAAGGCUUCGACGGGUAGCCGGCCUGAGAGGGUGACCGGCCACACUGGGACUGAGACACGGCCCAGACUCCUACGGGAGGCAGCAGGGGGGAAUAUUGGACAAGGGGCGAAAGCCUGAUCCAGCAACGCCGCGUGAGGGAUGACGGCCUUCGGGUUGUAAACCUCUUUCAGCAGGGACGAAGCGCAAGUGACGGUACCUGCAGAAGAAGCACCGGCCAACUACGUG